rnacentral:rRNA from 1 species
UCACUAGUGAUUUCCGUAGGUGAACCUGCGGAGGGAUCAUUACACAAAUAUGAAGGCGGGCUGGAACCUCUCGGGGUUACAGCCUUGCUGAAUUAUUCACCCUUGUCUUUUGCGUACUUCUUGUUUCCUUGGUGGGUUCGCCCACCACUAGGACAAACAUAAACCUUUUGUAAUUGCAAUCAGCGUCAGUAACAAAUUAAUAAUUACAACUUUCAACAACGGAUCUCUUGGUUCUGGCAUCGAUGAAGAACGCAGCGAAAUGCGAUAAGUAGUGUGAAUUGCAGAAUUCAGUGAAUCAUCGAAUCUUUGAACGCACAUUGCGCCCUUUGGUAUUCCAAAGGGCAUGCCUGUUCGAGCGUCAUUUGUACCCUCAAGCUUUGCUUGGUGUUGGGCGUCUUGUCUCUAGCUUUGCUGGAGACUCGCCUUAAAGUAAUUGGCAGCCGGCCUACUGGUUUCGGAGCGCAGCACAAGUCGCACUCUCUAUCAGCAAAGGUCUAGCAUCCAUUAAGCCUUUUUUUCAACUUUUGACCUCGGAUCAGGUAGGGAUACCCGCUGAACUUAAGCAUAUCAAUAAGCGGAGGAA